CCUCUGCGGGACGUCACGUUUCCAAAAGCGCGCGAGCCCUGCCCCUCCGGGAAGAGGCACCAUAGAAAUGUGUGCUAACAAGCCUCCCUGCGGCCUGCGGAGUAUAGGAGAGAGCAGGAAGCUUUCAGAACAACAAGAGUGGCUAGAAAAGGCCCAGGCUGGGAGGAGACGAACGGCCCAGCCCCACGGUGUUUCUCAUGGGUGGAAAGUCACCAGCACCCAGAAAACUUUUUCUAAUGUUUCUAAUCUCGAUGCUGAAAUAAAUGAGCCUUCGCCAUGUUAAAUUGGAGGAGAGGAAAUCGUCUCAACUUGGGUCUGUGAAAGGGUGAUUUUUGAGAAGAAAGAGGUCCUAUACAUUUUUAUUUUUAUUUUUUCUCACUCUUGUCGCCCAGGCUGGAGUGCAAAGGCACGAUCUCCGCUCACUG
rnacentral:lncRNA from 1 species